UGUGUCAUGACAGGUAUGUGUCACCUAGAGACAGUGGGGGCAUUAGUUGUGUGUCAUGACAGGUAGGUGUCACCUAGACACAGUGGGGGCAUUAGUUGUGUGUCAUGACAGGUAGGUGUCACCUAGACACAGUGGGGGCAUUAGUUGUGUGUCAUGACAGGUAGGUGUCACCUAGAGACAGUGGGGGCAUUAGUUGUGUGUCAUGACAGGUAGGUGUCACCUAGAGACAGUGGGGGCAUUAGUUGUGUGUCAUGACAGGUAGGUGUCACCUAGACACAGUGGGGGCAUUAGUUGUGUGUCAUGACAGGUAGGUGUCACCUAGAGACAGUGGGGGCAUUAGUUGUGUGUCAUGACAGGUAGGUGUCACCUAGACACAGUGGGGGCAUUAGUUGUGUGUCAUGACAGGUAGGUGUCACCUAGACACAGUGGGGGCAUUAGUUGUGUGUCAUGACAGGUAUGUGUCACCUAGACACA